UCUCAGCUGGAAUCAACUUGUCAAGAAGUCCCAAAAGUUAAGCUGCGGCACCGAAAAGUAGUAAAUACUAUAAAUGGCAUCACUGAGCAGAGUGAGAAGGGGGACAGGAAAGAGGCAAGACAAUGUGUUCACUGAACUUUCAAUCUUCCACCGACAUGACCAAGAUAUCCAUUGUUCAAAUGUGCAGGUUUAUGUUGCAAGCAUGCCUAACAGGGAUGACAUCUGUAACAAUCCCUCUCACAGAUUAAUUUGGACCACCAAGUCAAAGAGUAGGUGUGAGUCAACUUUCUCCUGGAAUGCAAAGGUGAGGGAAAGCGGAGUCUCCCCCCUCAAGGCUGCUCUGUUGACACUCCAAGCAUGACCGCACUUCAUCUCCACCACAGCCCCGCCAGGAAGGGCGUCCAGUCACCAGGCACCAGGAGCCAGGCUCAGGGAAGCCAAGGAGCUUGCCCACGGUCCUGUGGUAACGACGGUCCAGCAGUGAGGUUGGUUUGGAACCCAGGCGUGAUUUUUCAAAAACAGAAUGCUACCACAU